AUGUUAAACUUCUCUGAUUCUUGGGUUUUGUUCAAGAGAUUCAUAGUAACAACUCAGAUAUUAUAUAGACAACAGGCUCAUGCAUACCAACUAUUGAGUAAAAUUCAGAGAUGUUUGCAAUGCUCGGCACUAAGGUAGGAGCUGUGAAACCCACACUGAGAUACCAU
rnacentral:lncRNA from 1 species